UUUCAAACUUCAAAAAUAACCAAAGUAUUUGGGGGAUGAAAUUUUGUAAAUUUAUAGAAUACAAAUAUUUUUAAUGAAAUAGUUAUAAUAAUAUUUCUUUAGUUUAUUUGAGGAAUGUGAUCUUAGAUCAACCCCAGAGCCCAAUUCAUUUCUGUAUUUUGGUUGUAAAUGUUAACAGUUUUUAACAUCUUAUUUUGCAGUCUCAGUGGUGAAAAGAAAGUCUAACCCCAAGCAACACAGAAGUGCAAAUUCACUUUAGCAUGGUGAUGUGCAUAUGGUGAAUAGGUUUUAUGUAAAAAAAAAUUUUAAAUGAAGCUGGAGAUCAAACCCAGGACCUCAAGCAUGUUAGACAAGCACUGUACCACCCAACUACACCCCUAGACACUGAAAAAGAAAACUUAAAAAAAAAAAAAUGUUAGGAGCAGAGAGUAACAAGCCUGUGAUCCGAGAGACUUUUGUGAGGCAGGAGGAUCCCAAAGCCAGGCCAGCUUCAUCAACUCAGUG
rnacentral:lncRNA from 1 species